rnacentral:lncRNA from 1 species
GCAGCCUAUCACCCGCAAUAACGCCAGUGAAAAUCUACUACUCAAGACAGAAAUCAUUUCCACCAGAAAUCGUUUCCACCGUCCUCCCUCUGCACUACCCAUGCAUAAGACGACCCCAAUUUUAAAGCGUUUCAAGGUAAAAAAAUUUGUCUUAUACACAGAAAAGUAUGGUAUUUUGAUAAAUUUUAAUUAAUGCUCAUCAUAUGAUGCCAUAUAGAUUUUUCCCCCUGAUUACAGACCAUAGUAACACAUGACUACCAUUAUCUUGGGACAUAAUAUAAGGCCAUGAGCCUUCCCAAAAACAUCUGAGGGUGGGGAUUAAAUGGGCAAUUGUGCCAUUCUUUCUCUAAUUGUGGCUUCAGAUUGUACCAUUUUAAUUAUACACCAAAUAAUAUAUUCAAAAUUUGAAAACGACACUGCAAUUUAUGCAUGUUGUUAAAAAGGAAAGCUCAUUACAGAAAACACAGCACAGUAAUUUCUUUUUAUUAAAAAAAUAGUUUCUUAAAAGGAUAUGUUUUCCAGGAUGAAAAACAGUAUAUCAUAGACAAGUAUGAAAAGCAAAUAGACUGGAAUAAGGUCUUUAUAUGCUUGAAUUCAAAUACUUCUGUUAAUUUAUAAAAACUCAUUUGACAGGAAAUAGCAGGAAGCCAUUUUAAAUCAAAACUGUGCAUUCACUGAUUAAGGACAAUGGUAAUAGAUGGCUAAAUAAGGCUAAAUUUUAAAGCACAAGCUUCUUUUCAUGUUUCCUGAGAAUAUGUCAGUUGAGAGCUGAUCCACACGACACCUAGAAGACUAGUUUCUGUCAUAAAUGGAAAAACUGCAACAGUGAAGGAGCCCUUGAUGUUCUCUCUCACAGAUCUAGCCCACUAAUGCAAAUGAUUCAGAAAAAUUCAUGCACAGGAACAUUAAUCAAGACCUAGCCCUGUGGUGGAAAAGGGGCAAGGUCACACAACAGCUUUGCUACCUUGAUUUUCUGUCUGUCUUUAGCCACAGAAAAAAUACAUUAGCCCAGAGAGAGAGAAAAUAAAUCCCGCAAAUCAUCCCCCCCGCCCAAUUGUCAAGAUGAUGCUCUAAUACAGUAGUGAGGAACCCAGUGGCAGACGAAUCCUCUCGGGCACCCGGGGUGGGGCGAACCACCCGGCGGUGCACGUGAGAUGCCCAUACGGACUGUGCAUUUGCGGCAUCCUGUACAGACUGCACACGUGCAGCAGCCUGUACUGUUGCUGUGCAAGCAGCAGCCCGUACGGACCCCUGUAUGGAUGGCAAGAGAGAGCAGCAGCCCAUACAAACUGCACAUGCACAGCAUCCCACCCCCCUUUGUACGCCCCUGGAGGAACCUCCAGCCACAGGCCUAAUAAUGCCCCCAGGUGUCCCCAUUUUGCCCACCCUGCCAUUUCAGUCAAGUCCUGUCUGCCUACUCCACACCAGACAUUAUGUCAACUGUGGGGCGGUAAAAGCAUUGGGCUGUUCAAGCACUGAUCAGCUGAUCGGUGGGGCUUGCAAAACACUGGGUUCUGCAAGCUCUUAUUGGGGCUUGCUAAGCAUGCACUGGCCCUGAGCUUUGCAAUCCUGGAUGAUCAGCUAUCAGGGCUUGCAGAGCCUAGUACACGGUGCUUUGCAAGCCCCACUUAUUUGACAGAACAACAACUAUAUCCCUGCCGAGCAUAUGUGAAUGUGUUGCAGGACUGAGAGAACUUGAACAAAUGAAAUUAUUAUUAUUAUUUCUAAAAACAUGGGCCAUUGCCUUGCUUUCUGCAUAUUCCACCUCAAAUCCCAGGUUGCAUUCAUGACAGUCUGAGCUGCUGCCUCCCACCCGACAAGGACCUGGGAAAUACUUUUGGCUAGUUUGCUAUCCCAACCUUUAAAACUGCUUCAGGGUCGAGAUUUCAACUUGCUUUUCAGUAGCUUUGUAAAAAGAUGGUUCUUUAAUUUAAUUUAAUUUAAUUACCAAGAAGCAUUUCUCAAUCACAUAGUAUUUAAAAAUCUCUAAGCAGUUUACAGAAGGACAACACAAAGGCAAUAAAACAGUAGCAUAAAAACAGACAAAACAAGGAAUUCAGUAAUAGCAGAGUCUACUCUUAUGGCUCAAGGAAAGCCUGGGCAUCUUUUUGCAUCUGAAGCAACCAAUAGAUAAUGCUUUGUGCGCAUAGCAGAGAGAAGUGCUUUCCACAAUGCAAAAGCAAUAGCAGGAAAAUGCCCAAUUUUGGAUUACUUCCCUGUGAUAUUGUGUAGGGCUGUGAAAUUUCCCAGAUGGUCUAAGUGGUCUUACAGGUCCAUAAAGCGGCAGGCUGUCUUUCACAUAACCUGGUCCUGAAUUCCACUUGAGUUGUACUGCCAUUGUUGUCUUACUGUCUGCAGAGGACAGCUUUGAUUUUUAGGCUCUUGAGAAUUUGACCAGAGAAAUGGGAGCAUUUUUCCUGAAGAGUGAUUAUUUUUGCUUCUGUCAGUAGCUACAUGAUAUCAGCCAGCAACUGAGAAGAGGCCCUGUGUACAGCUUUCAGCAAAACAACAACAACAACAUUUAUACCCCACCCAUCUGACUGUAUUGCUUCUGGGCAGCUUCCAACUGAUAUAAAAACAUAAUAAAAUAUCAAACAUUAAAAACUUCCCCAUACAGGGCUGCCUUCAGAUGUCCUCUAAAAGUCAAACAGUUGUUUAUUUCCUUGAUAUCUGAUGGGAGAGCGUUCCACAGGGUGAGUGCCACAGACGAGAAGGCCCUUUGCCUGGUUCCCUGUAACUUCACUUCUCGCAUUGAGGGAACUUCCAGAAGUGUCUGGGCUGAACAAUGGAGGUGGAGAUGCUCAUUAGUUUAAUUAAGAGGAGGGUUUUUUUAAGGGUUUCCUCACACAGCUCCCUCUCUAGAAAGGUAAAGCAUGUUCAAAACAUGUCAUAUACCAGAAAUGGGGACUCUUUGGUCCUCCAGCUGCUGUUGGAAAGGAACUUCCAUCACGGUUGACCACUGGCAAUGCUGGCAAUGGUUUGUGGGAUUUGGAGUCCAAGAAAGUCUGGAGGGCCACAAGUUCCACAUCCCUGCCAUAAUCUAUCAAAUAUUUCAAAUGACUCCCAAAUGGUAGCUUACUGUUCUUAUUCCCAUCACUAUUUUGUAUUUCCUCCCAGUAUGCAAAUCGAGACUGAACGAUAUGCAAUAUAGCAUUUUCCCCUCUAAGUGGCUUCUGCUAAAGACAUACUCUCCUCUCAAAGAAUUGAAUGUCUAAGGGCCACUUUACAGAACUAUGAGUAUCAUGGCAGAAAACUAGUAUAUUGAGAAAAGUGUGCAUGGAACUGCAUAUAAAGUAUGUUGCCCAAAGUAUGUUGAAAUGGAGGAAACUGAACUUCAAGGUGAGAAAAUGAGAGGCAGAAAGGAUUGUGCUUUUCAUCAUUGUUUUUGGCUCCCAAAAGAGCAGAGCAUCUUUUCUCCUUUAAUAAUAACCUUAAACAAUUGACAGAGGAAAGAACACACUCAUUGGGAAGGAUAUGGUUUUUAAAUAUGCAAGAGUAAAAAAGAAAAAAAAGGCACUUACAUUUUGCUCUCAUUACUUCUGCCUGUAGUUUAAGCUUAGCAGGCAUAAAAAGUGACACACUCUUCUACUAUUCUGGCAUGAUAAAACCACAAGAGGAACUGCAACUGACAAUCUUCCAGAAUAUUUUCUAAAGGAGGGCAAUAUCUUUUCAGCGUGUGUGGUCAUCCACGAAGAAACUUAAAAGUAACAAGUCUGACAGGACAGAAACUCAACUUUCCUGACUCUCUGGAGGCAGCUUGCGUGUGUCAAUCUCUAGAUUUCCAUUUCAGCCAGAAGUGACGGGUUGCUGGCCAUUAUGCACCAUGAGUACAGGGGUUUUGAAAGCAUUUGUGGCAAUCAUCUUGCAUUUUAAUGCAAGUAAAGAUAAAAGCAACAUGUCAAAUAACUGGUCUUCUUCUUCUUCUUCUUCUUCUUCUUCUUCUUCUUCUUCUUCUUCUCUUCUUCUUCUAUGUGCCUCCCCCCUACACAAAUCCUGGAUAAAUGAUUAAUGACUGCAUGGAUUCUGACAUUCUGUAUCCUGAAUAGAGAUAGGUAGAUAGAUAAUAGACAGACAGACAGACAAACAGACAAUCUAGGGACCAAAGAAACCCAUAAAUGAUGUACCUACGCAACUCUUGUUGAUUUUGGAUUUUAUUGUAUAUUAAUACAGUAUUUCAAUACCGUUGUGACUAUUGUCAAACUAAUAAUACUUACUUACGUGUAUUUAUUUGUCUGCUACAACCUUCCAAAUGUGAUCUUGUGGAUUCAAAUUGGUACAGUGGAAAAACUUCAAAGAUAGGCUGCAAUAACGUUAUAUAUGGAGAGGAAACUUUUUAGGGUAUUAAUUCAUUUGCCUUAAUACUUUAGCCAUCUUACUUCAGCCAUAAUAUUUCAGCCAUGACUAACGUCCGCGGGCUGGAUCAGGCCCAAUUGCCUUCUGGAUCCGGCCCGUGGAUGGUCCGGGAAUCAACGCAUGGCUUGCUAGUGCAUUCUUUCCCUCUCCCUUACACGGCGGCGACGCCUCCUCCCUCCCUCCUCCUGGCUUUUCUCUGCCUAGAGGAGGAAGGGGGCUGGGCUUUGUUGGUACCAGCAGCAGCAGCACUCGAGCAGCCGCCAUUUUAAGCAGCCCUUCUCCGUAGCCCUUUCACACGCCACUCAUUGGCCCCCUGCUGCUCACAAGACACAGGUAAGCAGCCACUGGGGCUCGUCCGGUGCUGUGGAGAAGGGAGGGGAGAGUUGGGGGGAGUUGGCUUAUAGUCCAGCCCCCACAAGGUCUGAGGGACAGUGGACCGCCCCCUGCUGAAAAUUUUGCUGACCCCUGCACUAGAACCUUCCUGUUUUGCAGAUGGGGAACUUGUGCAGAGUGAAAACUGCUCAGUUUAGGACAUCUAAAGAAAGUCUUUGGCAGAGGAGGGCUUUGGAAAUCUAGGUAGAUGAUACAUGAGGAUAUUUAUGGAAAUGUUUUCCCGUGUAUCUGAUGUCCAGAUCUUGCAAGAUUUCUUGCAGUCAAUCUGAAUCAAUGCUGAAGCAGAACAAGCUAUAUUCUGAACACUGAUUUGCUGACCCAGAGCCUUCUCUGGGUUAAACUAGGGCCGGUAGUUUGAGAGCUAUUGGUGCUAUCCUAUGGGAUAGGAUCUCCCAGUAGCUAACAGGGUCACAAUUCCUUGUGCAUAGUCAGGAGGAAGGAAGAGCUGGUAGGAAGGACAAGGCACAAUAAUAGUCAGGGACAUUGAUCCCAACAGCAGAGUGAUCCAGUAAUGCUGGUUGGAUUUACAGGGUGGUAUCCAAUGCCUUAAUAUGUUCUGGGUUUCCCUUCCAUCCUUUGGAGCAGAUUUCGGGGGAGGACAUGAGGCACAUGCAAGGAAAAGAGAGAGGAAAUUCCAUUGUGCAAGCAGACAUCCUUGUCUGAUGCAACAAUUUAUUUGGACACCACCUGAAGGAAUUCCCAAAAGGGCUACAUCAGAAAUGCUUAAAAUGUUUUUGUGCAUAUUCUAGGUGUUCUUAGCACUCCUUCCCAUUGUAGCUCCUCAUCCCCAUUCCCUAAAUGCUUCAAAUUCUCAAAGACCUAUCCAUCUGGAGGCAUGCACAGAAAUUAUUUGGAUUUUGACCUGCCCGAGUUAAAAUUUUAUUUGUAUACAUUUUACUAUUAGGAUACAUUGCAGUAUAAAGGUAAAGGUACCCCUGACCAGUCCAGUCCAGUCGCAAACGACUCUGGGGUUGCGCACUCAUCUCACUCUAUAGGUCGAGGAAGCCAGCGUUUGUCCGCAGACAGGUCAUGUGGCCAGCAUGACUAAGCCACUUCUGGUGAACCAGAGCAGCACACGGAAAUGCUGUUUACCUUCCCGCCGGAGCGGUACCUAUUUAUCUACUUGCACUUUGACGUGCUUUCGAACUGCUAGGUAGGAAGGAGCUGGGACCAAACAACGGGAGCUCACCCUGUCGCAGGGAUUCGAACCGCCAACCUUCUGAUUGGCAAGCCCUAGGCUCUGUGGUUUAGACCACAGCGCCACCAGUGUCCCUCCUGUUGCUAGAUAAGCUUUUUUCUAACCCUUCUGUAGUAUGCAAUGGCAAUAGUACUAGGGCAUGCUAUCCUGUGUUGUGUCAUAGCUUUUGAGACUUGGGCCGUCCAUUAAUAAAGGUUAAUGCUACAUUCCAUCUUCUGUAUUGCCUCCAAAGAGCCUUUCUUGCUCUGCUUCCUGUCUCACUUUCUUCAUUAGAUAGAGCCACCAAGGGAGCCCUGUGACUGAACAGAUUUGUCUCCUUUAUGCAUCUCCUUCCAUGUUGACAUUUUGUUUUGAAUUUCUAACAGGCCGUUGCAGUAACUCAGUUUGAUCAUCUGCUGAAAUCAACACUCUCACAAAGCACAGUUUCUAUUAACUCAGUAGAAAGCUUAAUGAUUUUGAGACUUGCUCAGAAAAAGUCAGGUUUCCUAUUUACUACCAAAAUAACUCAACACAAAGGUCAUGUUGAAUUUAUAACAGCAGAUGGGUUCCAGUGGCCAUAUAUUGUUAAGGUGAUAAAACGCAGUUUUUUAAACUAUUUUACAGUCUGCCAAGAAGGGCAUUCAGGAAGUUAAUUGGAGCAAAAAAACCCACUAAUUGCUUCUUGAAAACACACAAUGUGGAAUGACAACCCCAUUCAAUGAAGUACUUAUGCACAUGUCUAACUCUGUCUAUGUGGAUGGCCCCUUUCAUUCUCAUUGCCACGACUCUAAUGGAUUUUAAUUGUAUUUGGAAUGUGUAAGAAGUCGUCGUAAAAUGGUAAAUAAAAGUUAGUUAGUUAGUUAACUAAAAGCUUACUGAUAAAAAGAAAUAAAAUAAAAUAAAAACAAAACUGAAAAUCUUUCUGAUCCUAUGACUUGAACGGUUGCUUUUCAGAUGCUUUUCAGACACUAAGAAAACCGAUAGCUUAAAAUAUAACAACAACAAUAAUUUAUUAUUUAUAUGCCACUCAUCUGACUGGGUUACCCCAGCCGCUCUGGGAGGCUUAUAACAAAUUUAAACACUGCAAGAUGUCAAACAUUAAAAACUUCCCUUCAGAUGUCUUCUAAAAGCAUAACUGUCAACUUUUCCCUUUUCUUGCAAGGAAUCCUAUUCGGAAUAAGGGAAUUUCCCUUUAAAAAAGGGAAAAGUUGACAGCUAUGUCUAAAAGACAAAUAGCUUGUUAUUUGCUUGACAUCUGGUGGGAGGGCGUUCCACAGGGAGGGCACAACUACUGAGAAGGCCCUUUGCCUUUAUAUAUUUUUGGGUUGGGUUGCAUUGGGAACUCCUCAUCUGGUCCUAGGGAUGGAUGUUUUAUUUGUUCAAAUUCACACUUCCUGAACCGAUAUGAAAAGCACAGCUCUCUGUAGAAAUUUAGAUUCUCUGAAUUCCACAAUGCAAUUCUCCAGCCAACAAAUGCCUACAAAAUUGCAUAUAUUAGUGAAAGGUAUGUGCAAAAAUGUGUACAUUCAUGAAAAUUAUGUACAGUUAUUAAGCGGGAAAUUGGGAGAAAUGAGAAUGCAAAUUGUAUGUUUUUAUACAGACUUUAAAAAAAUUGCAAACAUAUGCAGAAAUGGUACAAAACAAAUUUAAGGUUGGAAAAAUGAGAAAGAAACUGAACACAAUAGGUUCAUCUAUCCCUAGCUGCUUACCCCACCCCCACCUCCACCCCCACUCCAGCAGUAGAAAUGUGAGCAGCAGACCAGCUCAGAAACAGUGCAGAAUUCUCAAGUGUGCUGCGUUAAAUUUGGGUUGCGCUGCUUUUGGGAAAUUGGGAAGCGGUGAUGCCGGGGCCUGAUGUAACACACCUAAAAAUUGCAAGCAGCUUAAGCGUCAUCACAGAGUUCUCUGACGCAUCCCUUCUUUGGGUCUCAGGUUCAACAGUCCUGGCUGAACCAUCCUCUCAGCCAAGUUUUGAAAUAAACUUUUCUACAGUGAACUCAGCAUAAUUAUCUGAGCCUGUCUCUAAUUUAUAUUGUAUUCAUAUAUUUUUAUUGCUGUACACCAAGUAACUGCAUUGCUUAAGCACUGGAAGGGUAGGCUUCUCAAACAAGUAUUAAAUAAAAACAGAUCUGGUGAUGAACAAAGCUGUUUUUCCAAGGAAAAGUUAACCAUUACACAAGCUAAAAAAAGGGGAAGCACUGAAAACUUGUAAUUCCUCUAAUUUAGAUAGGGGAUAUCUUCACUGGGUGCUAAUAUUUGCCCUGAGGAUCAGUCUGCUUUGCCAGAUCAAUGAAAACAAAUCAUAGCAGUAAUACACGCUGGGAAUGACACUAUUUAAAAUGAGUUUGUGACACAAAUCUACAGCGCUAGCUGUGAGCAUUUGCAAGGCACUGUGCUAUGUUGAUGCAAUCCCUUCUGUCCUAAAAACAGUGGCUUUGCUUUAAAAGAUUAAUGUUAUGUACUAAGCUUGGAUCCUAGAACAAUAGGCAAGUAGGAUCCUAGAUUGCAACAACUGAUUGGCUUGCAGGAAAAGACCAAUCAGGCUCCAGGAGGAAGUUAAUCAGCCUGUUAGGCUGGUAGGAUCGUAGAAUGCAACAACUGAUUGGCCUGCAGGAAAAGACCAAUCAGGCUCCAGGAGGGAAGCAGAAUCAGCCAGGACUCAUUGUGUAAAUAAUGUAUAUAAAAGCCUGAGGUUUGGGGGGCAAUUCAAUCACUGUUUUACAAGCUGCAAUAAAGAGCAUGAAAUCACUACAGGACUCUGAGUAUAUCUCAAGUAGUUUCGUAUGCAUCAGAAAAACACAGAUUUUGUACAGCUUUUCCAUGUUCUAGGUAUCAAUCAGUACUAUUUUUCUGGAAAACGAGGUGCUGGAACUCACCAUAAAUGCUUCCUGUGCUCUCUUAUAAUGGCAAUGGUGCUCACCUGAGAGAUGCCGGAACUGAGUUCUGGCUGGAAAAAACGUCCUGGUAUUGAUUACAAGCUGACUAGAUCUUCCCCCUUUUAAAAUAAGAACAAUUGCCCCACUCCAGUCUCACAACAUUUUGGCAGUUUGGGGAUACAGCAAGGUUUGCUUUUGUUGUAUUCAUGUAACUGUUAAUUUUGUGGUUUUUAGGUACAUAAGAAUAUGAAGCCAAAGGGACGUCUCAACCAGAAUCCUUUUCUUACACUGGCCAAUGACAUACCUGUGAGAAUCCUGAAGGCAGAAUCUGAGUGCAACAGCACUCUUCCCAACUGUGAUACCCAGAAACUGAUAUUCAGAGGCUUACCUUAUUUUGCAUUUAUCAAGAAAAUCAGGCUGGGGAGCUAAAGGUUAAGGUAAAGGGACCCCUGACCAUUAGGUCCAGUCGUGACCAACUCUGGGGUUGUGGCGCUCAUCUCACUUUAUUGGCCGAGGGAGCCGGCGUACAGCUUCCGGAUCAUGUGGCCAGCAUGACUAAGCCACUUCUGGCGAACCAGAGCAGUGCACAGAAACGCCGUUUAUCUUCCCGCUGGAGCGGUACCUAUUUAUCUACUUGCACUUUGACGUGCUUUUGAACUGCUAGGUUGGCAGGAGCUGGGACCGAGCGACGGGAGCUCACCCCAUCACGGGGAUUCGAACCGCUGACCUUCUGAUCGGCAAGUCCUAGACUCUGUGGUUUAACCCACAGUGCCACCCGUGUACCUAGGGCUGGGGAGCUACUAGAUAUGAAACUAGGUAAACGGACAGAAUUGCAGUGGUGCAACUUGGGCUCAAAGCAACCUCCUUCAUUCCAUGGGUCAAUGAGAUGUAAAGGAGCUGGUCCUUUGAGCUGAAGAGGCAGUAGAUAUGGGUAAAGUAAAUAUUAAGUAUUUUGACGAAAUAAAUGCAGGUGAUGAGAGACAUGAUACUAAACAGAUGUUGUUUUCAGGAUUUUGUUCUGUUCUGUUUUGAGGCAGCGCUCCUAGUUAAUGCUUUGUCAAGCUGAAGAACAGAGUCAAAGUGUUUUUAUCACAGUUGCAUGGGAGUUGAAAGCGCACAUCGCUUCAAAGGAGAAUAUAAUUGUCAUGCUGAAGCAAACAGUGAAGCUAAAGCUAAGAGUGUAAAGUCUUAAAUGAAACCUACCUAAGCAACAUAAUAUCCCAAAUCAAUAUCCCUAAUGGAGAGACCCUUUAUGGAAUGAAGGCAGCAAAAUAAAAUAACAAAGGAACUGAAAUUGUUCGGCGUCUUCACAUCACAGUCUUUUAAGAACUGCAAAAAGAGGGAGAAGAGAUGUAAUGGGGUUGCUUUCUGAUCAUAAGAUUCUUUAACAUUUUGCCUCAGAGAGCAAUAAUGAAAGUAAGAUGUUAGAGACUGAAAGCUUAACCCUGGGCGCAAUGUAUCAGCAAUCAGUGCGUAGGCUAAAGCAAUGUUGCACACAUCCACACACCCUGUUCAAAACAUCUCCUGCCUUUGAGCAUAUGAAACCACCUAUUCUUUGCAGGAAAAUAGGUGGUAUUUGGCAGAGAAGUGGGGACUUGGCUCAGCAGCUGUGGAGAAGCAUGCAUUAUUCAUGCCAGCACUGUGCUGUCUCAAGUAAACAGAGGAUUUGAGUCUCCGGUGUAUGAGGGCUCAUUUGAAAUUUUGAUUUCUACUCUUUUUUUUAAAAAAAAAGAUUAGUUCUAUUUAAAAAUCCGUUUCUUUCUGCUUACUUGCAUUUCCAUUUUGCUUCUACCCCACUAGGGGCCUUGUUAUUGGGGCCUUCUACAACCCUUGAAAGAAAUAAACACUAUAAGGCAUUUUCUGGCUGAGAACCUCCCCUUGAGCCCUGCAAGGGACCUUCAACAACCAUGGGGUGUGUGGCUUAUGAGGCCUCUCCUUCCCAAAGAAAGAAUGUGGGCAAAACAAAAAGUGGGUUCAGAACUUCCCAAGCACCAACCAGCAGCUAAUCCAGGGGUGCCAACUUGAAUAAAAUAUAGGGAGGCCUCAGGUAAGCCCCACCCUGCAUAAUCAAUCACAAGAAGCAUCACACACACCUUAUUUGGGCAAUGCCCAUCAACUUUGGGAGCCCUGACCCCUGAAAUAUUUUAUUGGGGGGAUUAGGAGUUGGCUCCUGUGUCAGCAGCGCUGGAAAAGCCAAUGGACACCUGACUGACUGCACUUGGGAAGUACUGAUUGUAGCACCUGCAAAGCUCCUUUUGUCCAAGGCACCCCUUUGCUUGUCCUAUACUUGAUUUCAAAUAUGAUAUCUCAUGUAGGGUGGGUAACUGUGGCUUAGGCAAAAUGGCCUUAUGGACCAAAUGGAGAGGCCUGGUGAACCUACCCCUGUUGUAGACAAUAUUGACCUAGAUGGAGCUGUGGUCUGAUUCAGCAUAAGGCAGCUCCCUAUAAUCCACAUUUCACAAAUAUUCUGGCCCAGCUAUCAUGGAUUCUCUCCUUCUCUCCUUUCUUUGAUUUUAAUUUGGGAAACGUGCUCCUCCUAUGAUGAUCUGCCACUAGUCCUAUUCCCUAAUGUGAUCACUUGUCAUUAUUUCUUCUUCCGCAACCACAUGGCUCUUUGCAGAAAGCCAGAGGGAUCAAAAUUCUAUAUGCGCCAUUGGAGUCAGUGGAAAGUAGCUACAUGGAUGUAGAAGAAUGCCAUUUUGGUGUGUGCGCAUGAUAAUCUUGAACCUCAUACACCCUGAGAAGUUCAAUUGAUAUCAGCUUGAUGACAUGGACAAGUUGCUUAAAGGAUCCAGACCACCACUUGUCUCCUUGACCUUUAAUAAAUUUCUAGAUAGAUAGAUAGAUGAUAGAUAGAUAGAUAGAUAGAUAGAUAGAUGAUAGAUAGAUAGAUAGAUAGAUAGAUAGAUAGACGAUAGAUAGAUGAUAGAUAGAUAGAUAGAUAGAUAGAUAGAUAGAUAGAUAGAUAGAUGUUAGAAUUCUUAUGUGCUUCUACAGGGUGCUUCUUCAUGCUUUUGACCGAAGAUGAUUCGAAGCCCCUGUGUGAUUGGGAAUUAUGCAAUAAUCUGAGUUCCCAACUGUGGGCUUCUAAGUGUGUUCAUUCAAAAGCAUUUACAAAACCCAUUCCCACUUUCCAGCUCAGUGAGGGAGCGCACAGGGGCUGGUGCAUGCAGGGAUGCAAGGUUGAGGACUAGUGUACAUUCCCCUAUGGCCUCCACUCAUGUUUACAUUCUGCAUUCUGCAACAAUGGCUAAACAAGGUGGAUGAGUCUGUCAGUAUCAAUGGAAUUUACUGUCAGUACCUAUCACCUUAGAGAGCCAGUUCAAGGCAUGACCCCCCCUUGCCUUUCCAUCAGGUAACUAGCAGUGUGAAAACUGACCAACUACCUGUUUGUUGGAGAAAAUUGUUGAACAUAAAUGCACAGGUAUUCAGCACCCUAGAGCAAUUGAGGAUCUCUGGAUCAGGGCCAAACAAUGUGUAGAAACUUUUAAUACCCUUCGUUAAUAAAUUCUUCUGAUACCUACUUGAUUUUUAAAAAAAUUAUUCUGCCCAUGGCUAGAAUUUCAGAAGUUAUAUUGUACUUUAUUUGUAGUAAAGCAGGUGCCCUCCAAUAUCAAUGUGUGUUGCCUUGCAUUGUAAAAUAGAAUCUUGCACAGCUGAGUUCUAAUCUAAAAUAGGCUGCUUCUCUGUUUCAUUUACCAUGGAUCACAGGGAUGAAAAAAGUUUAUAGACAUGGAAGAUGAAAGAGAGGAGUAGGAAUAAUAACGAGAAAUAAAGAAAGCAAAGAAAUAUGUAUAAGCCAGUUGCCACUGAGGCAGACAGAAUGAAGCAAGUUAACAGAAACUGAUAUAAAGCUUCAGGCUUCAGAGCUGAACUGCUGGCUCAGAACAGCUUCUGCUGCAAAAAAAAAAAUAAAAAAAUAAAAAAGCGGGGGGGAAAAGCAAAAUGGGUAAUAAGAAUGCAGAGAGUGCAACUUUAAAUACAAAACAGUAGCUCAAACAUCUCAUUCCUUCAAGUUCAGUGUAACAUUUUCAGGCUGAUAGGCUUUCAAAGGGGCUUAAUUGGUAAUUUCACAAAUUAAAAGUUCUUGCAUAAUUCUAAAAUUCCGUUCCAUAUUUUCACAAACACUUAAAAAAAUUACCCAUUUGUUUCCCGGAGCCCGAAAUAAUUAAUGUCAUCAUGAGUUUUCCCUUUGUGUUAUUCUAAACAGUGGUUUUGCAUACAGAGAUUUCUGGUCUGAGCGCUAUAACAACAGCAACAACCCUUCAGUUUCCUUUAAUAGUUUGCCAUGUUUCCUGGAAAGAUAAUUCACUAUGGUGGAUGGGGUCUCAGUCCCGUGUUGUGUCUGAUGAAAUGCAGUCUUGGAAGAUGGGGAAACUGCCCAAGUUGUUCCCUGUUGGAUUUCCAGUUUUCUGAAUUUGAAUUUCCUGUUUGCAUCGCGUGCUCUUUUUUAUGCAUUUACAAGUAAAACAAGUAUAUUAAAAAGACUACAUAAGUCUCUAGUACUCUUUCAUCCAAAGGAAGUUAAACUCAGAAAAGUGAGGAGCACAUCAUAAUAUUCAUUAAAUGAAAUUAAUAUUUACUAAAUGAAUACAAUAUUCAUUAAAUGAAUAUUAGUAGGAUAAACUAGUUGACACACAUUAUAGGCAAACCAACAGCUCAGAAAUAGUUUUAUAACAAUUGUGGAAAAUGCACUUUGUUAAGUGUGUUGUGAAUUCCAGCCCUCUGUGGUGUAAGCUGCAGUUUCCAGGAUUAUUUGGGAGAAGUCAUGUGCUUUAAAUGUGGACAUGACCUUAUAUUCACUUUGGCAGCUAUUCUACUUGUAUUUAUGCACUAAACAUUUGAUAAUUUCCCGUUUUGAUCACUCCCUGUCCAGCCCCAGGACUUGCUCUUCAUCCAACCCACUUAAUAGGCUGGUCAGAUGCAGUAGACCAGGCACGUCCAACUCUCUAGAGGCUGCGCUCUACUCCCAGUAUAAUAAAAUUGGCAGUCAUUGCCAAGAGUUGUCAAGUUUUUUGGGGGAGCAUUGCCCAGAGUUGUCGAGCUUUUUUAGGGAGGAGUGCCCAGAGUUGUGGAGAUUCUUUUGGGGGAUUUGCAUAAAAUCUUGUACCCAACAGUCCACCGUUGUCCCUCCUCCCUUUCACAGCCGGUGAUGGGACAUAGCACAGGGGGUGAGGCAAGGAGCGAUCGAUCAGGAGAACCAAGGCAAUCACUUUUUAAAGUCCCACGAUCAAUCUGGAGCACCCGAGCGAUCUAACUGUAGAGGCCACCCAGUUUAACAUGUCUGCAACAGAGGACAAGGUUCCUUUACUUCCUGAAGGAGGAAUGGAGUAAGAUGAUAUGCAAGUUACACCUGUUUGAAAUUCCCUCUUCUACACAACUAGUAAAAGUGCACAAAGCCUGUUCUCCAUUUCACCUAGCCACUCCACCACUUGUUCUAACACUGCUGUCAUCUAGUGCCGAUGGAACCAUUUUGACUGAUCUUUUGUCCACCAUCACAACAGCUCAAGAAUUUUGCAGUUCAGAUAUUCUACUUGAACAAAAUUCUUGCCGAGGCAUCUACUAAGUACAAUCUGAGCAAAUCAUCUGCAAACACAAAUUGACUAAAACAUUUAAGCAAUAAGCCCAAAUAAUUUCUUCAAAGCAGAUAGGUUACUAUAGACAUUAAUAUAGAACAAUUGAGUUUGAACUCAAUAAUUUGAUAAGGAUCUUUCUCUUUGGAACAAAGUCAAUAAAGAUUUUAUUUAUUUAUUUAUUUUAAAAAUGCUGAGAACACUACUAGACAGAACCAUAUUCAUUUGAUUAACUGUUUUCUAUAACUGCCCAUUUAUUCGUGAAAACUGGCAAGAUUUACUAGUUCAGACAAUGAUCUUUGGUAUUGAUUUCUGAAGUCUGCUUGAGUUGAAGUAAAUUGGCAUUUAUGUCACUAGCCUAGAAAGAAUAAAAUGUGAAGGAGUUUAUAACGAAGCCCUCCGGAGCAACCGUAUCAAACAAUACAAAGGUUUUUUAAACUUCACUUUGAAGAUGGAAAAUGAGGGAGGAAUGGGGUAAGAUGACCCUGUACAUUUCUAGAGAAUAAAACAAAAAGGAGAGAGAAAGCAGAACAAAAUAGCACCCAAAAGAGUAUUCCACUAUGGUAGAUUCAGUAGAGUAUUUCAGUGCAUCUCUUGCAAUGGAAUAGAAUGCAAUCCUAUGCAUACUGAACAAAGACAUGUAGUUGCACUGUUGGGUUGAAAUCGUAAGCUCACUUACGAGGGAGCAGGAACCAUUGAAAUCAUUUCAGCAGGACUUACGUUUGAGUAAACAGGACUACAGUGCUGAUUGAUUCCAAAAUUGACUAUGAUAUAAAACUCAGUUGCUCCAAAAAGGCACCGAAGGAUGGCGUAAGCAUCAAUGCAUCUAUAAAUUGUAAUUAAUGAUGUUCUGUUCUUGCUUUCUAACAGAUGCAUCUUCUGCAAAAGCGCCAAGUCAACAUAUAACUUGCAGAGUUGUUUAUGAACUUCCACAUGCCUAUUGUGUCCUGCGAGCUCAUUUUCAUUCCAUAGCAGCCUUCCCCAUCCUGGUAGCUUCCAGAUGUUUCGAGCAAAACUUCCAUCAUCUCUGACAACUGGCUGUGCUGACUGGGGAUGAUGGGAGUUGGAGUUCAAAACAUCUGGAAGCCACCAGGUUGGGGAAGGGUUGUGUUUACUGAACAUUAUCUAUCUACAAAUGAACAUGGUGUACAGACAUGUAGAUGGUCACUUCUAAUUCAUUUCUAAUACUUUGCAGUGGCCAUAAUUUUCAUCUUCUAUAAUGCACCCAGAGUAACGUAGGGAGAGAAUGAACCCAAAUUCUCCUUACGUCCCAGCACCACUGUUGAAAGGUUUUGCUUUUUAGAAGUGGGUGGUCAGAACGUGAAGUCACCAAGAACGUGUUGUGGCACAUCUUGCUUCUCUCUCUCCCCCAAAUGCCAGCGCUGCAGAGCCAUCAGGUCAGGUAACAGUUUGCCGCUCUGCUAAUUCCUCCCUAUGGAACUCCCUUGCAUCAGAUGUCAAGGAGAUAAAGAACUACACAACCUUUAGAAGACAUCUGAAGGCAGCCUUGUAUCAGCAAGUUUACUAUGCUUUUAAAUGUAUUGUAAGUCGCCCAGAAAACCCAGCCAGAUGGGUGGGGUAUUAAUAGUAGUAGUAGUAGUAAUAAUAAUAAUAAUAAUAAUAAUAAUAAUAAUAAUGCUGGGACAUGGGUGGCGCUGUGGUCUAAACCACAGUGACUAGGGCUUGCUGAUCAGAAUGUCGGCGGUUCAAACCCCCCGAUGGGGUGAGCUCCCGUUGUUCGGUCCCUGCUCCUGCCCACCUAGCAGUUUGAAAGCAUGUCAAAGUGCAAGUAGAUAAAUAGGUACAGCUCUGGGGGAAAGGUAAACAGCGUUUCUGUGCGCUGCUCUGGUUCGCCAGAAGUGGCUUAGUCAUGCUGGCCACAUGACUCGGAAGCUGUACGCCGGCUCCCUCGGCCAAUAAAGCAAGUUGAGUGGCGCAACCCCAGAGUCGUUGGCGACCAGACUUAACAGUCAGUGGCCCCUUUACCUUUAAUAAUAAUAAUAAUAAUAAUAAUAAUGAUAAUAAUAAUAAUAAUAAUAAAUCUUCCACCUGGGGCACUUGAUCCCCUGGAAAGACAGGCACAGUGUUAUUGCUACUGCCCAGUGAGCCCCACUCCUUAGAAAUUGUUCUGGGAUGGUGGCAUUCUAUGAUGGAUGUGAUGAAUUGGCCCACCCAAUUCCUCUGCCCUCAAAUGCAAAAAGAGGGUGUGAAAUUUCGAGAAGCCAUUUGUGCACGGCUGUGCCUUAAAACCCCCUGUGGUGAUUUAGUGAAGAGUUAGUUUUGCAACUCAUUAUAGCAGGUGAAUCGAGCCGAAAAGCACUUAUGCAGGUUUGUCAAUAACAGCUAUGGGCAAUACAACAGGCCCUCCCAUUACUCACUUUACUGAGGCUUAAAGGGGGGAAAGAAGCAUAAGUCUCAAAUACAAACUUGCCUGAGCCUUAUUCAACAAGCUAAGCCAACAUCAGAAAAUUGAUUACAGUAUAGGCAGCAUUUUGCCCUGAAGCUCAUUUCUUGCUUUUCGGUAGACAUAGCAAAUAGAAUAUCAAGCAAACAGGAGCCCAUUAUCUGGAAUAGUUCCCAAGAUAGUUGGAGGCAUUUUGGAAGAAGGGCUUGAGCGCAACAUUAGAGUCUGACAUUCCAGAUUGUGCAAACUACUAUUACAGGAGUUUAAUUACGGAGAAGCAGCUUGCCUUAAUUAUCGUAGCCAGCAGUGACUAGACCCAGGCUAAAAUAAUGAGAGGAAAAUAGCAGUGGAAAUAUUAAUUGAAAAGGGUUGCUUGGUGACAUUUUCAUGCUUUGUGACAUAUGGCUUCAUGGGGAGAAUCUUGUAAAAUGGGCAAUAGAGGCUAAAAGCUAAAAUGUUAUUAUGGAAAUGGUGGUAUAUGGAGUCACGGGGCAUUCUAAGGCAGGGCAAACAUAUGGUGUAGGAAAUGUGGGUCAUAUCCCUCAUUCAGAGCGCAUGUAGAGCAAAAUAAAUAAAUAAUACAGCUAUGUAGCCUAUAAUUGCCACUGCAUAUAUACACUCCUGAAAUGGCAGAGACUUCAGAAUAUAAGAAGAAGCCAUUUCAGGUUGUCUGAAAUUAAGCUCUAUUUAAAAUAUUAAAGGACGCGGGUGGCGCUGUGGGUUAAACCACAGAGCCUAGGACUUGCCAAUCAGAAGGUUGGCGGUUUGAAUCCCCGCGACGGGGUGAGCUCCCAUUGCUCAGUCCCUGCUCCUGCCAACCUAGCAGUUCGAAAGCACGUCAAAGUGCAAGUAGAUAAAUAGGUACCGCUCCAGCAGGAAGGUAAACGGCGUUUCCAUGCAUUGCUCUGGUUCGCCAGAAGCGGCUUAGUCAUGCUGGUCACAUGACCCGGAAGCUGUACGCCGGCUCCCUCGGCCAAUAAAACGAGAUGAGCCCAGAGUCGGUCACGACUGGACCUAAUGGUCAGGGGUCCCUUUACCUUUACGUAAAAUAUUAAGAGUAGGAAUUUUGAGAUGCGUUGUGCUCUGGUAAACCAGUUUCAAUAAAAAUUGGAGAUGCCUGAUGAUGCCUGGCUCUCCCUCCCCCAAAUAUGGAGCUGUUAGUGUCAUUUUCCUGCAGGUGAUAUUUAUGGUAACAGAGUAACUUUGACAGUAAAGGAACAAACUCAGUGGAAAGUUAGCAUCAAAAAGCUAAGACACUUUCUAUAAUAUAAGAGCAAAAGAGAAAACAAGGAUCAUGUCACAUACCCAAAAUUAAACAUCUAACUUUAUCGUAUGCAUCGCUAUGUUUAGUGCAAUUUAACAUUCCCACAGAAAUUAAGUGGGCUCCGUCACUUGACACUUUUUAAAAAAGGUAUUAAAAACUCUCCAACUUAUGCUGGGGGAAGUCAUAGAUGAAGGUGGCUUAUUGGAUUUGAGCCCCGUCACACUGGUUUUACACUGGUUUUAUUUUGCAAAGUGUAAUUUUGAUAUGCGGAAGUUUUUUAGCAUAUCUUAAGAUGCUAGCAGUUUUCCUCUAAAAGGUGAAGUAGAUUUAAAAACAAAAACACAGCAAGCACGGGAUGUUUUAGAAGUGACAUUUAUUUUCCCUACUUACAUGCAGGAAAAACACACAAACUGAGGUGUACACAGUCGCAUAUCAUGAGUGCAUACCUGCCUUUCUCAGUGCCAAUUGUCAGCAUGUAAAAAGGCAAUAUGACGGAUAUGUUAAAUGAACAAGACAGCCAUGAGAUAAUUGUAAGCAGCAUUUUUACAACUUUAUUGUAUGAUUCUAGGCCCACAGUAAGAUGCUUUUGGCAGUCUGGAGCCCUGAAUUCUUUUCUGGGGACCCUCAAAUGAGACUGAAGAACCAGAUUUGAUUUUCAAUUUGUAAUGAAUGAAAUGCAGAGUUCACUUAUGAUCAGCAUCCAAACAGAGCACUGGGAAGUUAUCCAUCAAAAUGGCAGGUUGUCAUUCAAGGCAGACUGCUAAUUUACUCCUUUCAGCCAUGUUCUUUUGCCCUGCCUCCGUGAAGCCUGCAACUGGUCUUCUCACUGGACUCAUGUACACCCAUUAUGUUGCAUUAGGGUCACAGAAAGUUAGAGUGUGUUAGACCAAAAAUAGAGAGAAUUCUUCUGUCCAGUAGUGGAUGACAAUUACUAUCAAAUUUUAAUUUUAUGCAAUACGUUUUUUCAAGGCUUGGGAAACUCAAAAGAAACUGGUUAGCAAGACAUCUCGCUGGAACAUAUAUUGGAUGUAUGCAUAUUAUUUCGUUCCCUCAUGACAAGAAAAGAUGAAGAGAGCCUCCGCGAUGCAAAAGGGUUUGGAGAGCCAUGACACUAAUGUGAUCUCCAAUUUUGCUGUCAGAUAUUAUUUGCUUGACAUCUGGCAGCUGUGCCUGGCAUGUUCUGAAUCUGUAUGCUUCAAUUCAGCACGGUAGAAACUAGCAAAGGAAGGGCGAGUUACAGAUGCAAGCAGCCCUGUUGAAACUGGUGUGGACGGAGAUUAGCAGAAGAUACCCCACAAAUGAUUAGGUCAGCCCUUCACCAAUCUGUUGCCCUCCAGAUGUUUUGAAUUACAGCUCCCAUCAGGCCCAGGAAAAUGGGAAGUUACAGAAAAUUCUCUAGGAGAGCGUGGAAUGAAUUCUUCAGUAGCACAAAGGGGGAAAAUGUCAGAAAAUCCCAUAAGGUUCUCUUCUGCUCAAUUUUUCUGGCUCGCUUAAAACUGAAAGAAACAGAACUGUUAGUUCAUACUGCUGGAUGAAAAAAGAAAUGGGUUAAGACAGCGUGCUUCCUUAAACAAUAUUAAAAUACAGUGGUGCCUUGGGUUACAUACGCUUCAGGUUAUAUACGCUUCAGGCUACAGACUCCGCUAACCCAGAAAUAGUACCUUGGGUUAAGAACUUUGCUUCAGGAUGAGAACAGAAAUUGUGCUCCGGCAGCAUGGCGGCAGCAGGAGGCCCCAUUAGCUAAAGUGGUGCUUCAGGUUAAGAACAGUUUCAGGUUAAGAACGGACCUCCGGAACGAAUUAAGUACUUAACCUGAGGUAUCACUGUAUAUUGGGUUAGAUCCACAGUUGCACCCUAUCCACAAGAGGUCAACUGGGAAGGGGUAUUUCUCUGAUUAAUGUUUUUAAUGUUUGAUUUUUAUCCUGUUUGUAAUAUUCUGUUGGGAACCACCUAGAGUGGCUGGGGAAACCCAGCCAGAUGGGCAGGGUAUAAAUAAUAAAAUUAUUAUUAUUAUUAUUAUUAUUAUUAUUAUUAUUAUGUGUGAGAGAAAUUCUCCAACUGUUUGGGAGUGGUCUGAAAAAGAAAAAUCUGAGAAAAAUUUGAGUUCAGUUCUAGAAAGUCUUCCAAACUGCACCCAAGCUAGAGUCAUGGCCUUUCUGACCAUCUGGUUAAAGCACUACUUAAUUGAAACAGUGAUGAAUUGAAUGUGGUGUGUCAGUUUUUGAGGAUGGGGGCCCUCACUUCUGUAUUUUACUUCUUCCUUCUCAUGUGGAUUGUGGGGAAACAAAACCCUAUAUGCAUACAAAUUUGCUCAGAGGAAUUGGGGGUGGGACGGUGGGACAGAGCUUUGGCAUGCUGUUUGACACAGAGAAAUGUCCAUCAUUCAUAACGACCUGGUUGAGAACACAAAUUUGCCUAUCUUGUAAUGCUCAGCUGAAAUAUGAAAGGAAUGCUGUUUUUCUCAAAAGUUCUUCUGCAGCUCAUGAAAUGAAGUUGUGCUGCGUACAUUGGCAAGGGAUGAACUUUCCUUUGUAGCUGGUAACCUAUUUCCAAACGGCGUUGAGGAGAGUUUGUGUAAAGUCUAUCACACUGAAUACAGUGUUAGACACUGUGGGAGGAGAGCUUCAGUUGCAUCUGAUCUUUGCACUCCACACAGCUGAUCUGUAAAUGGAAACUUUUUCCCCAGGAGAGAGCAAUUUGAGCAGAUUUGCUCUUACUACACAUACCUUCUAAACAUAGAAACAGCUGGUCCUGCUCAUAUAGCUGCUUUGCUUAAGAUCUGCAUUCCUUUAAACUGCAGAUUAGUAGUGAAUGCAAGGACUAUGAAUUGGAUGUCUGCUUGCUUGUUUGGCCAGUGAAUAGCACAGUAGAGGUUCAGCAUCUCAGCGAAAGGGCAAAACAAACAAGAACUGUGCUUGGAAAGUGGAUUUUAGAAAUCUGACUGGCACGGCUCUGUACAAGGCUGACGUUUUCAGGGGUUAGGGUAUGAAAUUGAAACUCGAAAGACGAUAAAGCAAAGGGCAGAGAGCAUCUUUCAUUACCCUUAUGAAAGCUUGUGCACUUUUUGACACUGUCCUCCUUGAUGGAGUACAAGGUAUUUCCUCCUCCACCGCCGCUACCCUUAUUGAAUGUCAACAUCUGUCUCAAAGCCGAAUGUCACAAUGCAAACUACUUUUCUGAAGAGCGUGUGGCAUGUUGAUCUCCUAACAGCUUUAACAAAUAUCCAAUAUAAAGUAAGUGGUUUACUGUGCCAGGUAUGGGCAGAAAGAGGGAAGGAUGCAGCAGAACUGAAGACAUUAUCUCCCAAGGCUAUAAUCAGAAACAGCCCUACCAUUGGGCAGAGUGGGGUGGCUGCCUCAGGCAGUUGAUUGUAGGUCUCAUGAAAGGGGAGCAAAUUGUUAGCCGUUUAAUUUGUUAUUAGUAGACUUUUACUGCCAGAGAGAGAGACAGAAAGAAAGAGAAGGGGGAAAAGUGCUUGUGGGAUUUUCAGGUGCAAAAUAACUUGGCUAGUCUUGGGUCCAAUGCAUUUGACUUAGGAGGUGUGGGCUCUGUUUAGCGCUUGCCCUAGGCAACAAAGUGUUUUGGGCCAGCUGUGGCUAUCAUUCACAACCCACUUACUUCAGAUAAUUUCUUUCGAAGCACCUGAUGUUUGCAAUAUUUGAUUUGUGUGAAUUGUGGCCUAAUUUUUCUGGGUCUCAAACCCUCGGUGAUUUAGGGACGUGAUAGAUUCAGCUUCAAAUGAGACCUGAACCAAAUUUCUCAACCAUUCCUAGGUCAAAGGAAGGGUCAAAGACCAUAGCUCAGCUCAACUCCCUGUUUUCAUUUAAUGUGUAUAUAUAUAUAAUAUAAUCUUUUUAGGACUUAAAUUUCACAUCCAGCUCAUAUACUUCCCACUAGCCACCAAAUCUUGGCAUAAUUUAGUUCUAGAGGCCUUUCAAGAGUAUAGAUUGACUCCCUCCUCCCCAAGUGUUUUGAAUUAUUUUUAUGUUAAUUUUUAUUCCAGGCUUAUGUUUUGUUUUUUUCCAAAGCCCUGGGCUUUUGCCAUCACCACAAUUUUCUUCUGAAACCCUCAUAAACAGCAAUGCCAGCAGGGGAGGACUUCGGGGGAGAUGUCUGGGGCCUCACUCAGGAGAAUGAGCAGGAGAGCCCCCAAACACAGUUGAGCUGGCUUUUCACAUUUUGAAGUCAUUGAAGUAAAAUAUAAUUGCCAUCUACAGAGGGAAGACCCCCAUAAAACCAUAAUAGCAGAAUCUCGAAUCACCUAACUGCCCCACUGCUCAUAGAGGCUAUUGUUUCUGCUUUGAGUGGGGAAGGUGUGUGUGUAGGACCACAGGUUAAAAUUUUACAGAUACUAAAGGGCCAACUUACAUCAAAAAAGACAAUCUCAAGUAUGAUUGACAUAAGAAACCGGUCAUUACUCCAGCAAUGAGUGCCAUAAACUGCAGAACAAAGGCGUUAGGAGUCUUAGAUUAGUUUUUACUUAUACCCUUUAUAUUAUAGCUGUGGUAGAAAAGAUGUCUGAGCAGCCAAUGGAAGAGAUAUCACUCUAUAAUUGAGAGAAAAAAGAGUAAAAUGUCCUGAUGGGUAUAUAUGAAAGUAAUUUCUUUUUGAAGUGGUCUGUGAAACAGAGUUUCACUCCUGGGACCAUGCUCUGUGAAUUCUGGCUUAUUUCUGUUUUAGGUGUUCUUAAGGACGUCCUAUAAAAGGUGAAGUCUUUUGUGAAGGUUUCUACAUCUUCAUGUGUCUGUUUUUAUAGCAGCUAACUCUGUGGGUACCUAGACCAGACUUGACCCCCAACAAGUGAUCUGAAGUAACUUGCUUCCCAGGGAUCCACUUUAGAGUCAGAGAGCUCCUUCACAUGUUUACAAGAAAUGCCAAAGGAGGAGACCCAAGUCUUUGUCUCUUGCCAUUUCCUCUUGCACAGGGCUAGAUGUUGUUGGAGCAACCCACCCAUCCUCCAAAUGUGGCCAGUAGUAAGAGAUGAUGGAAGUUGCCUAAUAUGAUAUGUGAAAGAGAUGGGCUGGCCAACACUGUCCAAUGGGUGAGCUGGGCAAGUCAUUAAUGAUAUCAUAAUGACACUCAGCAAUGGCAUACCCACCAACAUUUCUCCGAUGAGAAUAGGGACAUCCCAUUCUAUAAUGAUAAUUUUAUUAUUGAUACCCCACUCAUCUUACUGGGUUGCCACAGCCACUCUGGGCAGCUUCCAACAUAUAUAAAAACAUAAUAAAACAUUAAACAUUAAAAAAAUCUUCCCUAUACAGGAUUACCUUCAGACGGCUGGGGGGGGGGGUCCAUACCCUCCAACAUUUCUCCAAUGAAAAUAGGGACAUCCUAAGGAAAAGUGGGUCAUUCCAGGAUCAACCAGGACGGCUUCUCUAAAUCAGAGACAUCCCUGGAAAAUAAGUGUCUACAGUGGGCAUGCUUGUACCUCCUGCAUAGAUAAAGGGGAGGAGUCUAGCUUGGGUUCAUGGUACAUUGCAGAUGAUGCUCUGCAUUGGUUUGGGAUAGGAGCCAAUACCGGUAGCAGCUGGAAGGGGACAUGGCUAUAGCAUGGACCAGGGUGAAAGCAGUGUUGCUCUGGGCUUUGACGAGGCCUUUAAGCCAGGCCUAAAGCAACCAUUCAUAUACAGUGGUACCUUGGGUUACAGAUGCUUCAGGUUACAAAGGUGAGUGGCUCCGCUAACCCGGAAGUAGUACAUCAGGUUAAGAACUUUGCUUCAGGAUGAGAACAGAAAUCACACUGCGGUGGCAGCGGGAGGCCCCAUUAGCUAAAGUGGUACCUCAGGUUAAGAACAGUUUCAAGUUAAGAACUGACCUCCAGAACAAAUUAAGUUCUUAACCAGAGGUACCACUGUAUGUCAGUUCAAACUAUCUGCCCAAACUCAGUUUGAAAUGGAAUCCUGUAAUGUCAUCCUCGUUAAACCUUGGCAAACAUUGACACUAUUGACUACACUCAUUAGGGCAGGGGUCACAAACUUUUUCAGCAGGGGGCCAGUCCACUGUCCCUCAGACCUUGUGGGGCACCAGACUAUAUUUUUGGGGGGAAAUGAAUCAAUUCCUAUGCCCCACGAAUAACCCAGAGAUGCAUUUUAAAUAAAAGGACACAUUCUUCUCAUGUAAAAAAACGCCAAUUCCCGGACCAUCCACGGGCUGGAUUUAGAAGGUGAUUGGGCCAGCUCCGGCUCCUGGGCCUUAGUUUCCCUACCCAUCCACUAGGGGCGCAUGAAGAUAUCUCCAUUCUGCCAUUAAUUCAAUUUUUCUAACUGCCUUAAGAUGAAUAGGCUUGGGAGGUGAUCUGCUUAGAAAUGCUUCUCCCACACCUCCCUAAGUUACACAAAAUAAUGGUAUACAUUAUUGACAAAAUGUUGGAUCUUCCUACAUUUCCUCCUUCAAAAAUAAAAAUUCAUAAAAUAUUAAUUCGGAAAAUGUUUUAUCAAGAGUGUUUUCUUGAACAUUUUUAUAUUGUACAUAGUGUACAAUAGAGAUUAUAGAUUUGUAAAAGAGUAAGUGGUACAGAAAUGCUUUUAAAUACAUGCAUACCUCCAUACAUAGAAUGAAGUUAUUGCAGUACUGUUUUUCUUGAAUUACAUUAGUAUUUUAAAACAGAAUAGUUAUACAAAUGUCAUAUCAAUAAAUGAAGUGUCCACAUACUAUGAAUAUUAUGAAAGACUGAUUUUCUCAUGGCCUUGAUUCUUGAUCCUUCAAUGCAUAAAAUAAAUAAGUUAAAAUAAAGAUGACAUAAAAGUCCAAUAAUAUAACAGAAUUAUAUCAACAGUUGUGCAACUGAAGGUAGGGAUGGGUUUAGGGAAGCUUUUAAUAUUUGAUGAAUUAUUGCAUUUUAAUAUUUUGCUGGAAGCUGCCCAGAGUGGCUGGGGAAACCCAGCCAGAUGGGCAGGGUAUAAAUAAAUUAUUAUUAUUAUUAUUAUUAUUAUUAUUAUUAUUAUUAUUAUUAUUACUACUACUAUUACUACUACUACUAUCAUCAUCCAAUGUCUUUCUCCAGGUGUUGAUUGUCCCUUUAGAUCCUGAUGGCAUGAGAUUCCUGACUUGGGCUUUGUUGAGAGAAUUAGAUGGUUAAAUCUGUCCUCACUACUUAAAAGUUUAUUCUUUGGAGUAUUUUUUAGGAGUAUUUAUAGCAAUUCAGAAAUAAGCUGUACUCGGGGCACUUUUUUCAGCCAGAAGUUGCUGGAACUCAGUUCUGUCACCUCUCAGGUGGGUGCUAUUGCCAUUCUAAGAAAACCACGGAGGUGUUAAUGGUGAGUUCCGGCACCUCUUUUUCUAGAAAAAUAGCACUGGCUAUGCUGUUUUUGAUUUUGUCAAGGUCCCUGCUGAUUUUUAACCUGUGAAGCCAUACCUUACAUGCAGUUUUUUCACCUUAAAAUCAAGAGUAGUGCACUCCCCAUCUAACCCCCUUACUACAAAUCAUAACUUCACUGAUAUGACUACUGUAUCUCAUUUAAAACACUUCAAAAAUAAUAAAACUCCAUUCAUUAAAACACACAUGAGAUAGAUAGAUAGAUAGAGAGAGAGAGAGAGAGAGAGAAGAGAGAGAGAAGACAAGCUGCUCCUUAAAGAAUUAAUCUAACCAUGAGAUUUUAUAGCUUGGGGGACACCUUCCUCACUCAGUGUCACCCCGGUGACAGAUUAACAAUGCUGAGGACCAUCCAACCAUGCAAAAUAUAUGAGGAAGCCUUCCUACUCACUCACACUUCAAACCUUGGCCAUACAUUUGAAUGAGUAGCAGAUCUUGACUUAUGAUAUUUGCAUGACUGUUGUCAGCAUUUUUUAAUGAGACAACCCAAAACCUUAGCCAGCAGUGUUGGGGCUUAAUAGCCCCUGUUGCAUCCACCACCCCAACACUUCCACUGGCCAGGGUGGAAAGGGGUGGGCAGGAAAAAUGCCUCUUUACUAUGUCAAGCUGGUGCAGUUGUUGUUGUUUAGUCGUUUAGUCAUGUCCGACACUUCAUGACCCCAUGGACCAGAGCAUGCCAGGCACUCCUGUCUUCCACUGCCUCCCGCAGUUUGGUCAAACUCAUGCUGGUAGCUUCGAGAACACUGUCCAACCAUCUCGUCCUCUGUCGUCCUCUUCUCCUUGUGCCCUCAAUCUUUCCCAACACCAGGGUCUUUUCCAGGGAAUCUUCUCUUCUCAUGAGGUGCCCAAAGUAUUGGAGCCUCAGCUUCCAGUGAGUGCAGUAGAAAGGCCUAAUUGAACCCACUGAAUUAAUAGGCCCCUAUUAUAAGCUGGCAGACACCAUUUUGUAGUGGUAUGUGGGGAGAAAGUGCUGGUGGAACUUGGCUUAGGUUAUGGGGAUUCCUUUUAUGGAGGGCGGGGAUGAAAAUGCAUCAAAUUCUCAAUAGACUGUCCAUCAGAAGCUCCAAAACAGGCCUGAGGUUGGGGGUGGGGACAACCGAUUUCCCUUUGGACCACUUUGGAGCAAACAUUCCAGGGUUAAAAAAAUGCUCGCAAUAAUCAGUUCCCUUGUUUUUGUAGUACACGGGUAAUCACAUUUGUGAAUAUAAAGCACAAUUAUUAAUUAGAAUUAAUAGCCUCUAAUCAUCUGCUAUCAUCAACUGAUUACAUUUAAUUAGGCUUCACUGGAAACUAAUUUCAAAUAUUCAUACUUAAAGCUAAUAUCAAUAUAUUUUAUAUGGCUUUCAGCAAUAAAAAAGGAUAACUUAACUAAAGCCACCUGUUUUCAUGGUUUUUCAAGAUUCCCUAUUUAAUAUAACGUGCACUCAGCUCCAUAUCAUUGAUCAGAUCCUAGACUAUUUGAGAAACAGGACUAAAUACAUUAUCUUACCCUGGAUGAAAAAAUUGUUGUUUCAAGACCCAAGGCAAGCCAUGGUGUAUCAUAUGAUGCCAUUAUUUUUCUUUCAAGUAGAUAACAAAAGAUAAACUAAAAGAACAAAGAGGUUAUAAGGACUGGCAUCUUUGCAAUUAGGGAGUGUAAGUCACAUCAGACUGAAUGCCUGAUUGUGGUUAAUUCAGAUUAAAAAAAAUGUAUAACUAAUGUUACUGACCAUUAUGGCCAAUGCAACUGUUAAACUAGUAGAAAGAAGAAUGACCAUAAAUCUUGGGUGUGAAAUGCCCUAAUAUCUCAAUUUGUAGCCAUUUGUGCUCAUUACAACAGAGUUCCUGUAUGUGCAGGUGGUCCCAUUCAUUUCAUCUUGAGGACAUAGGGGCAGGGGCAGUUCCACAUCAGCAUCAAACCUCCAUCACUCAUAACAGAUUGAUGGAACCAAAUAUAAAAUAUAAAAUAUCUGGUUCUUAUUUAUGUAUUGAUGCAUAAUCUCCAACCUCCAAUCUCCAAGGAGCACAAGAUUCUGGGGGUUCCAGGUGUGCUUACCCAGGGUUCAUGUUUUCUUUUGGAAAUGAGGCACAGUGGAGACUUGUGGUGUUUUCAUAAUAUAUGGCUUAUUUACACAUAUAUACUACCUGAGUCUCCCAUGGAGGGGUUCACAGCAUUGACACCCCAAGAAGGUCUUGCCUCUCCCAAAGCCUCGGAUUCAAACAUAAAUCCACCACCAUCCUCUUUCCCUCUCUAGCUUGUUGCAUUUAACAGACUGCAACAUCUUUCCCCAAGGUUACAUCACUGCCACUGUGAUCCUAAACGCAAUCCUAAAACUCUGGCAUUGUUGAAGGAAGGGUUCACACCCAUCUGCAUUAUGGCACAGGGUCUUUGCUUUGUAAAUGGCCCAGUACCUUCUCUUUCUUCUCCUUAAUGGCUCUUCUCCCAUGCGAUUUCCUGAACUCGGGAAGCUGGCUUGUCUUAUAUUUUAAGAUUUGCUAAAUCUCGUAUCUGGCACCCAAGGUAAGACUCCAAGCAUUGAUUAAAUUCUAAACCCUACUGGAUCCAGCACUUUAAGGGAGCCUGGGUGAAAAACAUAAACAAAGCAUGAUGAAACAAACUAAAGGACUUUUCAAUGGGAAUUAAUCUGCAACUACUUCCAGUACUUAUAUCAUAGUAACAUUAAAAUCAAUAGGACUUAAAACUGCCUGACUGAAUUGUGCUUACAUUGUUAUUGCCCCCCCCCAACAAUGAAAGCAAACAGCCUACAACGCAUCAUAUUGCCUCUUCUUCAUUUUAUUUUUAUCUUCUGUUAUUUUUUUUUGCCUCUCCAACAGCAUUUGGCCUUUUAACUACUAAAGUGUUAAGGAGUGCUAGUUUCCUAAUUAAAUUUAAGCACGUUUUAAAGUGCAGCUUGAUUAGUUCAAUUAAGCAGGAUUAUAAAUUACCCAUGAUAUUUUGUUCUGCAAAUUUCAUAAAGCGAAACAUUCUUCAGUUAUUAUUGGUAUGCAUUCCACAAGUCAUUAGCUCUUUAUUCAGGAAUACAAAUUUCCUCCUAUUGAUUAAACUGGCAUUUUCAUGCAAAUGGAAAUAUUUCAUUUUAUUAUCUUUUGUAAGUAUUAGAAAACAUUUCUGAAAUAUUUUAUUUCAGCUUCUCUCAUAGUCUUAGGUUUCUGCUGUUGAAGAACAGUACUGAGCUGGGCGGACUUCAGGUGUGAUGAGCCUCCUUCAUUUAGUACAAGAACCCCCAGAUUCACCAGAUGCAAAGCAGUGACUUGGGGAAACUGAUAUGUACUUAGUAUUACAGAACACGGAGGAAGCCUCUGAGCUCAUUCUCAACCCAAGGAUUUAUUUUCAGUACUAGGACUGAACUCUCAUCCUUUUACAUAGAAAUCUAUUUCUGAUUCUGCCCCUCCAGGGAGGAUUCCUUUUUUGCUGCUAUGGUUAAAUGUUUGUGAAUCAGAAACCAUUUCUGAUCCAUGGCAAAUCUUCAUUUUGCUCAUUCCCAGUGUAUACCAUAAUAAAAAUCUAAGCUGUUUGUGGGCGAGCUUCGAGGCCCACUUUGUCUUCUCAUGCUUUGUCAAUCCUAUUGGGGGUUUUUAAUCAUUAAAUUACCCUGAUCUUGAAAAGGAGAUCAGGCUUCUAUGCACGCAUUUCCUUAUUGGUUCAGCAUCUCUUGUGCAUGCAGGUUCCAUUACCGGAUGCUUGAAUGCCGCAACUGGGUCUAUUUACAUAGAACACAGUGCUAAAUCAGAAACCACACAUACAACCAGGCAACAGCUUGAGAAGGGAUAAGAAAAUGUAUUUGCAUAUCAGGGCUGCUCAGAUGCAGUUCUGUAUCCCGCCAAUGCAGUCCUGUUCAGACUGCUGCAUGACAUAAAUGUAGGAUAUACCUUCACACUGGUCCUGAACAUUGAAUGAAAAUUUAUCUGCCAAGUUUGGAUAGUGUGUACUGUUUACUUAACACAUUAGCCACGGCACUGCAAUAAAUCUUCACUCUUUCGAUGCACAACCCUACUUUCAACUCAUUCACACGUUAAUCUGUUCCCACUUCAGCACUAUUUGUUUGUUUGUUUAAAACUUGCUUCUUCACUGUGUAAUCUAAGCCAAUGGAGGACCACUUGGGGGAAGAAGAUGACAUCACAGUAUAACACAGAGCCAACUCUCAUUGGCUGUAUUGAUGUCCCUGAAGACAAACUCUUCCUACUCCUUUCAUUCUGAAUAAAGAAAGAACUCAUCCAUUCUGACACAACUGGUCAACAUUCCCUAUCAUUUGUUACAUGGUGACAGUGACAUACCCUCCAACAUUUUUUUUUGAUGAAAAUAGGGACGUCCUAUUUACUUACUUACUUACUUACUGCUUUUUUACUAUUUAUACCCUGCCCAUCUAACUGGUUUGCCCCAUUAUGGGCAGCUUCACACACACACAUACACACUCACACACUAAAACAUUAAACAUUAAAGGGUUCCGUAUACAGGUCUGCCUUCAGAUGGCUUGGGUGGGGGAUAACUCCAUACCCUCUGACAUUUCUCCUAAGAAAAUAGAGACGUCCCACUGGAGAAAAUAGGGACAUCCUAAGGAAAGCGGGGCAUUCCAGGAUCAAAUCAGAAACUGGGGAGGCUUCUGUAAAUCCAGGACUGUUCCUGGAAAAUGGGGACACUUGGAGGGUCUGCAAUGAAUGCUGUAUGACAGAUCUUUUGCUCUGAUCUGAUUGCAGGUGCUUUCAAUCACGGAUGAACUCGGAAACAGGAUGAAAAGGACUAAGAGUGAAUACAUGAGAGACUGACACUGACUAAGAACAGGGUGAUUUGCCCAUCCCAGUUUGGACCUGAUUAGAGGAGAAGUGCACAAUAUCAAAUUCAGC